rnacentral:lncRNA from 1 species
GCCACCACACCCAGCUAAUUUUUGUAUUUUUAGUAGAGAUGGGGUUUUGCCAUGUUGCCAAGGCUGGUAUCGAAAUCCUGACCUCAGUUGAUCCACCCGCCCCGGCCUCCCAAAAUGCUGGAAUAGGCAGUGCUGGGCCUGGAAUCAUAAUUUUUUAAAUUUUCUCAAUAUCUACAUAAAAGUGAAAGAAAGGAAAAAAAAAAGGUGGUUGGUCUACAUGCAUCUAAGCAACCUUUCAGCUAUGAAAUUCCAUUAUCUUAUGGAAGUCAUAAUUUAUAAACUGUUUAUAAAGUGGUUAUCCCUCCUAUUGAAACAUCACCAGAGUCCUUGCUCUUACUGUUUUUAUGGCUGUUAGCAAAAAUAUCAGCUAAGUAGAAUACAUCAAUACUGGGGCCCAGUUAAAAAUGCCAAUACAGUCAUUCCUCAAUAUACGAUACUCAAGGGAUUGGUUCUAGGACCUCUGAGUGUACCAAAAUCUGGGCAUAAUCAAGUAUACAGAAAGGACAGUAUUCACCGGAUGCAAAAGACUCUCCAUAUAUGUGGGUUUCGCAUCCCCUGAAUACUGUAUUUUCAAUAUACUUUUGGUUGAAAAAAAAAAUCUGCCUGUAAGUGAACCAGCCCAUGUUGUUCAAGGGUCAACCUCUUCUAAGAAUAGUAGUGUGAUCAGCUACACAGGUGAAGGGUAUUAAUGGGGGGGAGGGGCCAGGUAGGUAGGUAACUGGAGUUCAGGAAGCACUUUGAAGAAUAAGGUGGAAUAAGGUGGAGUAGCCCAGGCAGCAGGGGCCACCAGACGGAGAUGCAGCAAAGAGCUGGGAGACAGUCAAUAAGAAAAGUUGACCUACUCAGCUUGUUAGAUAAAGCAAGUCUCCUCCCUGGAAUACAAUGAAUAAACACUGUCCUCUGUUGCUAAAAUCUAAGUGGCUGCCUGGUCUCAUGAAGUGAGUUACAGUGGGCUUGCUUGUGAGGGUUUCUCUAAGACUGAAGCUUCCCGAUGACUGAAUGUGUCCUUAGCUCUGAGCAACCAAAUUACUUGCAGAUUUUUGAAAUGAUCAUUCUGUGAGUUGGGGAUCACGUACAAAACAUUUCCUCAUUUCCAUGUGUAUCAAAUACUGGCGUUAAUUUUUAUCCAUUUUUCCUUAAACACGUUUUGACACCUUUAAGGCUGCUUUUGUUCUUUGCAAUCUCUGACAAGAACACACAAAAUUCUCAUUUGUAUUUUUUAAGUCCUAAAUUAAUGCAACAUAACUUAAUAAUAGCUAUAAUGGUUCUAUUAAGGUACUGAGCACUGGGAAUAUCACUCUUAUUUUAGUAACAUCACAUGUGUGCUGCUGAAAUCCACAGGGCAAAACAAUUUAGUGCUUAAGUAGAAAAGGAUGUCACAGGAUGUCAGAUCCUGUCUCUGUUUCAGUGGGUGUAGAGAAUUGCCUGAGAAGUGCAUAUUCGGCUGAAAAGGAAGGAAGAGAUCCAACACUUAAAUAAUAAUAAUUGUAACACUGAAUUUAGCUGCAUCCGCAGCACUGAAUAUCCCCCAAAUGGAGAGGCGUGAUGUGUGACUAAGUACUGGUGCUAUUGUUUGGCUUAAAUAAAUCUCCCUCUGUAUUCACAUAUUUUAUACAAUGAAUUUUCCAUAUAUAUAUUUCACUUAAGCUGUAAGCAUGUUUAAAAUGUUUGAAACAGCAAGGUUUAGAUUAACUGCAAAAGCAGUAUUCUUAUUAUGGAUCAAGGUCACUUAGAUACCAAGAAUACCACUGUUGAAAGCUUGCUUAAUGUAUCACUAAAAUGGCUUUAAAAAAACCUAUUUAUUUUUACUCUACUCCUGUGACAGACUUAAAAAAAGGCUUUUAAUCUAAAGUCCUGUGUGGACCAGACACAGCCAUAUAUUCUGCCUCUUCCUCCUCCUAAGUAAUAAAUUACUACCACCAGUGCCUUAAUAUUUGAUGGUUUCAUUUUUAUAUCCAAGUGUUGGCCAGGGGUGGUGGCUCAUGCGUGUAAUCCCAGCAUUUUGGGGGGCUGAGGCAGGCAGAUCACCUGAGGUCAGGAGUUUGAGAACAGCCUGGCCAACAUAGUGAAACCCUGUCUCUACUAAAAAUACAAAAAUUAGCCGGGCAUGGUGGCAUGCACCUGUAAUCCCAGCUACUCAGGAGGCUGAGGCAGGAGAAUCACUUGAAUCCGAGAGGCAGAGGUUGCAGUGAGCAAAGAUUCUGCCACUGUGCUCCAGCCUGGGUGACAGUAAGACUCUCUCUCUCAAGAGAAA